rnacentral:pre_miRNA from 1 species
AGUGCAAUUGUUGGGUCAUAUGGUAGUUGCAUGUUUAGUUGUAUAAGAAACUGCCAGACUGUUUUCCAGAGUGGCUGUACCAUUUUACAUUCCCACCAGCAAU